CCUUCAUUCUCUAAGUUUAUGAAUAGAGAGACAUAAAACCUAAAAAAUUUCUUUUUUCGCCUCUUGAUCUUCGUCUCUCCGAUACUGAAUCCCUAAAGAAAGGAAGACCAUCACGAUUUUUAAUCACCCAACCCAGUCCACGAUUCCCAGAGAAUUGGAACCAACAUAAGUGUGAGAAGAAGAGACUUUAAGCGAAUGGUCUGAAGGAAGAGAAGAAGGCAAAGGAAGAAGAUUCAGAAUUUACUCAAGCGUCGUAAAGAUACUAAGGUUUACGUCGGCUGAUUUCAUGGAAGAACUCAAUUCCACCGUCUUCGUUGUUUACCAUCAAGCCAGAGCCACUCUCUUCAUUUGCCCCAUCUCUUUCCGCUUGAAAAAACAAAAACAACCUUUUCUGGGAGUAAGAGGCUUUUGGUGGGUGGCUCUCAUGGCUGUUGUUGAAUCAGAUGCCUCAUUUUAAAGGGAUUGACAACCAAGCCAACACCCCCGUUAGUUAUUCGGCUGCUUCUUACCUGUCAUUGAAAUAUAAGUGAGAAUUGAUUUUAGAGGACAAGGUGUGAAAGCCGUACAACCUGCUACAAGAUACCAAGAAAGCUGUUGGUGCAACUUACAUGGGAUCAGUUGGAAAUAAUAACUACAGAGAUCUAAUGAAGAAGUAUCUACAACAGCUGGUUUCAAUGUCACCAUCAUGGCAAUGAGUCUUCGUCAACUGGACCUUGCGAUGCUUGUGUUGUAAUGGAGAAAUAACCUGUUCAAUGGUCUUGGAAAACCAGCAGCAAAAUUCAAAUGCUGGACUACGUCAAAUAGUCGCUAUAUUGUGGUAGGUGAAAACAUGCUUCUGAACAUGUUUUGAAGCAGUGGUCAUAUGGAGAUGGAACUGAUGUACAAAAUACAUAUGCAAUGCUAUGAGGAUGCUAAGCUGUUGAAAGUGUUUCCUGAGGUAGUGAGGUGAACUUGAUGUAAUAGUGGUGUGUGUUGGGUUUGCAUUGCAAGGCAAACGUUAGUGAAGGGAUUGAAGCCAUUUGUGAGUUUGCUAGAAGGGGCUGAAGAAGAGGAGUGAGUGAGAUGCUAUGUUUUUUUGUUUUCACUGUAUAGUCUAUUCUAAUAAAACAAACACAAUAUAUUUGGUUCUCUUAAGGCCAAAUCCAAAUGAUAAGUGGAGAAUAUUUUUGUACUCACAUUAUUGUUUUUUUAUUAACUUUUUUUACAUCA